rnacentral:misc_RNA from 1 species
AAGUCGUAACAAGGUUUCCGUAGGUGAACCUGCGGAAGGAUCAUUACACAUUCAGGGCCUGCCCUGUCUUAUCUACCCUUGCGCUUGUAUCUGUUUCCUCGGCGAGGGCCCCGCCGACGGACCUCUUUAAACUCACAUGUAGUUGCACUCAGCGUAUAAAAACAAUAUUAAAACUUUCAACAACGGAUCUCUUGGUUCUG